GGCUGUGUGGUCUAGUGGUAUGAUUCUCGCUUAGGGUGCGAGAGGUCCCGAGUUCAAUUCUCGGUACAGCCC
rnacentral:tRNA from 1 species